UUGGAGGGCAAGUCUGGUGCCAGCAGCCGCGGUAAUUCCAGCUCCAAUAGCGUAUAUUAAAGUUGUUGCAGUUAAAAUGCUCGUAGUUGAAUUUCGGGGUUAGUAGGUUGGUCAUGCCUCUGGUAUGUACUGGUCUCACUGAUUCCUCCUUCCUGAUGAGCCGUAAUGCCAUUAAUUUGGUGUUGCGGGGAAUUUGGACUGUUACUUUGAAAAAAUUAGAGUGUUUAAAGCAAGCUAACGCUUGAAUACAUUAGCAUGGAAUAAUGAAAUAGGACGUUCGAUCCUAUUUUGUUGGUUUCUAGGAUUGACGUAAUGAUUAAUAGGGAUAGUUGGGGGCAUUAGUAUUCAAUUGUCAGAGGUGAAAUUCUUGGAUUUAUUGAAGACUAACUACUGCGAAAGCAUUUGCCAAGGAUGUUUUCAUUAAUCAAGAACGAAAGUUAGGGGAUCGAAGACGAUCAGAUACCGUCGUAGUCUUAACCAUAAACUAUGCCGACUAGGGAUCGGAUGAUGUUAAUUUUUUAAUGACUCAUUCGGCGCCUUACAGGAAACCAAAGUGUUUGGGUUC
rnacentral:rRNA from 1 species